rnacentral:tRNA from 1 species
UCCCUGGUGGCCUAGUAUUUAGGAUUCGGCACUUCCACUGCCAUGACCUGGGUUCAAUCCCUGGUCAGGGAA